rnacentral:rRNA from 1 species
UACAGAGGGUGCAGGCGUUGUUCGGAAUUAUUGGGCGUAAAGCGCGUGUAGGCGGCUUUGCAAGUCGGGUGUGAAAUCCCUCAGCUUAACUGAGGAAGUGCGCCCGAAACUGCCGAGCUUGAGUACCGGAGAGGGUGGCGGAAUUCCCCAAGUAGAGGUGAAAUUCGUAGAUAUGGGGAGGAACACCGGUGGCGAAGGCGGCCACCUGGACGGAUACUGACGCUGAGGUGCGAAAGCGUGGGGAGCAAACAGG